GGAACUAAAGAAAAGAAAA
rnacentral:misc_RNA from 1 species